GCCAUGUUUAGGAGCCAUUUGAUUUUUACAACCCUACAGGAUGGGUGUUGCUGUUUCUAUUUUAAGUAUGAGGAAUCUUAGCCCAUUAAAGGGUCAACUUAGUGAACCACUGUGACUGCCUUGUUCACCACUAUGACCUUGGCACGUGGCACGCAAUAGAUGCUCUAAAGAGAGUGUCUGGAGAGAUGAAUGAUGCUCAGGGAUCCAGAAAAAAUUGCUCAAGUUUGCCCUACCUGUGGCAGAACCAGGAUUUGAACUCAGCCAAACUGUUGCCACGUUGGGAUGCUUUAGGCUCUACCAUACUGGGAAUUUUUAAAUCUGUAGAGUCAUAUCGAUAGCUCAUGGGGUAUUUAUUGUUUCAGAAUUAAUCUUACAUGUUAAAUGAAAUAUUUUGAAAAUAAAUAGAUCAAUUAUGCCCUAAUUAAAAAUGGAAAUGGACUAGAGUUUAUUAAAAGAUGAUGGGAACCCUAAUAAGGUGGUAGAGUCAGUCCCAACCCAUGAGAGUGCAUGGGGUUCCCUAGAGAAUUGUGGGGAUGGGGGAAGCUUAUCUGUGCACCAACAGGGCUCAGGUGUGAAGGAAUAACAGGCUUUUGGGAAAGAGUUUGGAAGAGUUAAGGGAGGGUGGCCAAUGACAGAUUAGAGAAGACGACAUUGGAAACCAAACAAUAAAGCCACAGGGCAAUUUAGAAACAUAUUUAGAAAUCUUAAUAAAUAAUAACUUUCUGUGUGAUUCUGAACCAUUGGUAUAAAAGAGGACUAGUUUUCAUGAUGUUAGCUGUUUGGGGGAAAUUUAAGCAUUCAAAAUCUUGCAUGAAAUCAGAAAUCAUUUCUGCAUUCUGUGGGUGAGUGGAUCAUGAGAUAUAAAGAGUGCUUGAAAGUUCAGUGGAAAAGACCAGGAGGCCUGCCACUGACAGGGAAAGACUUCACAGAACAGAAUAGAGCACAAUAUCCACUUAAAAUUGCCCUAUCAGAAAUUGUUUGAAAAUGGUAAUUAAAAAUAUUUUUUUGGCAUUGAAAAAUUGAAUUUAAAUUAAUCAAUACUAAAGAAGGCAGAAACCAAGAAUUCCAUAAGAGCGCAUACACAAAAAAUGGUUCUAUUGGAAAUCAAUCUAGCUGUAACGUAUACAUUGAGACAGCACCUUGUUUUGCUUUAACAGAAAGUUUCAAAAGGGAAAAAGAUCGUUUGUAAGAACCUGUGCAGUAGCUUGACAGUCCAAGUUGGACUUCAGGCCUCUGCCACGAAAAAAACAUUUUUCUCUUUUUCCUUCCCCUAAAUUACUGCUCGUUCAUGUUUUCUUUUGAAAAUGAACAUUGAUUCAAUUUAUUUUACUUGCCCUGAGCCUACCAGCUUUCUAUACACAAACCACAGGGGUCCCAGAUCACGGAAAAUGGGCAAAGCGAUAGAAGCUUUGCCCUUUACCUAGAAGCAUAUAUACCAGUGAUAAAAACACAUCAGUUCUGUGAUAUAAUGCUUUCAGUAAACUGGAUCUGUUUCAAUAUUUUUCUCCUCAUUUUUUUUUUUCUGAGCUUUGCUGGAUUAGAAAGAUUUUCCAACAUUAACAUUUAGUUGUUAAUUUUUCUCUGUAAUUUUCUCCCUCCUGUUCAUUCCAUGGUAUUGAAUGGUGGGCGUGCAAUAAAUGGUGUUGGAUGAAUGAAUGGGUGUCAGACACUGUGCAGAGACCAAGAGGAGCCAUGAUUCUGACCUUGCUCUUAAGAAGUUUACAGCCAAAUGGGAGAAACACCUAUAAACAACAGUUGUAAAUUAAGUCCAUGGGAUAAUGGAGGGACACACAGUAUUGACCACUCACAGCAAUGAGCAGCUAUCAUCCUUGGGGAACCAGGAGUAGUCUAAUUCUCAAGCAUAUACAGAAGGAUGACUUACAAAAGACCCUCCAGCUUCAAGAGACCACAUUCACAAAAAGCAACUCAAAUCGGACCGUGAAUUUUCAAGAAACCAUGGGACUAUGCUGUGCUCCAAGAAUAAAAUGGGCAAACAGGACCUGAAUAUGACUAGUGUCUGUUUUGGGACAAAAGAGAAAACAGAGCACGAAAAGGGUCUAUCUCAAAAAAAAAAACAAAAAAAAAACCCUAAGUCAACUUCUUUUUUUUUUUUCAUCAAUUCUCUAAAUACUCUGCUGGGAAAAGGAGAUGGGAGUUCUUGGCUCAGAGUUACUGAAGCUUGUUAUAUAUGACCCCAGUGACCCUUGAAGUUUGCAUCUGUCACAACAGAACACGCGGCUUCUUAACACACUGCCUUUGUCUGCAAGACUCAUGCAGGGCUGUGGAGUGAGACACCCGAAUAAGCCCAUCUGGCGCCAUAGCUACCAGCCUCCCUCAGUCUGAGCUUCCUUCUGUGGACAGAGACCCAGACUUGCAAAUCUGCAGCCAGAAGCCUCCUUUCUGCCAUUUCUUGUCUUCCGACUUUCUGCCCCUUCCUUCCUCACAUGAUGGAAACUCAUCAAUGGGUGCUAGAAGUGACCCUGCAAAUAAAGCAAAUUGUUCCCUUGGGUCUCAGAAAGAAGGCUGAAGGGAAAGAGUUUCAGAAUAGCUUACUAGCUCUAAAAGCACUAGCAGUUAAACUGCUAGUUCUUGUUGGCACUAUUCUUCUCAUUCCAAAAGCCCACUGAAUACCAAAACGUUAACAGUUGGAGUCAAGACCUCCUCCCCGACCCUCAUCCAAUUACUUUGAGUUUUACAAAUAAGCUAAGUGUGGCAGCUCUGGCAGUGACUGCAUCAGGUUCUGCGCAACUUUCCUGAGAAGCAGUUUGCUGCCUCCAGCCCUACCUAGAUCACGAGAGCUCAGCAGAACUGUACAAGAUCCCUCUUAUGUGGCACCUCCCUUGGACCACAAAUGCUAUUACCCAGGCACUGUUUACUGCCAAGUUUGCAUCUCCUUUACUUGGCCAAACCUUUUGUUGACAUCCUUUGUCUGCUGUCUUCUCCAUUCUCCUAAGUUUAUACCUUUUAAUUCCUUUAUUGUGAUUUAUGUGGCAUUUCAGUGGUAGUGGAGAUAAACAUGUGUUCAACCAACCAUGCUUACUGGAAGUCUUGUGUGUAUAAGGGAUGCGGGAAGGGUCAGAAACCCUUAAGCUGCAUUUAAACUCUAGGUGAAUGUGACAGCCAGUAAAAAUUGACUGUCUAGAACAAGGCUUGAUAAACUACAGCUGUUGGUCAAGUCUGACUCACUGCUUGUAUAAAUAAAGUUUUAUUGGAACUCAGUCAUGCCCCUCCAUGUAUAUAUUACCUAUGGAUGCUUUUACACCACAGUGACAGAGUUGAGUAGUUGCAGCAGAGACCUCAUCGACUGCCUCCGUCCAAAAAUAUUUACUACCUGGCCUUUUAUAGAAAGUUUGCCAACCUCCAGUCUAGAAUGAAGCUGGUAACAAUGAUUAAUAUUGCUAGGCUUGAUGUAAAUAUUUUUCUAUGUUUCAAACUUGUUUGAAGAAUGUUAACGUUUUUUAAAUUAUUACAUUUAAUCUUAGCCUCAAAGGGAAUGCCGCAGCCAGGAAAGAAAUAUAUUUUACUAAGGUAUGGCAAAAAAAUAUCCUUUUAAAAAAAGGUACUGAUCUAAAUUCAAUAUCUUGUAUCCGAUAUAGCUGUGAGAUAAAUGUUAUUCAUAGAGGGAAAUCUGACAAUUCUUCACAUACUAAAUUCACGUUGGUUGACUAGCAGGUCUGUUGUUCCCGGUGCUUCAACAAAAAUAUUCCAUUUAGAAGAUUAUCCUGCUUAAAUUUUGUAGCAAAAGGUAGUUAUAAGUACACAUUGCUGGCUUAAAUUGUUAAAUUGUACUUUUAAAUUAGUCCACAAUUUUCAAACCCAAAUGUUCACUGUCUGAUUAAAAAGCGAAUCAUCUUUGAAAAAUAGCCCUUACCGAAAAGGUCAAAAUAUUUUCCAAUAUAGUCCUGGAAAGAAAUACAUAAAAUUUCUAACAGUGGUAAAAUGAUAAGAUUAAGGAUGAUUUUCUUUACUCCUUUCUCUAUUUUGCAAAUUUUUACAGUGAACAUUAUGCUUUUAUAACUGUAAAAAAAAUUAACUUCUCUAGGAAUUUUUUCCACUAGGAAAUGGAUUAGAAUUGAGUUGUGCUAUUGGUUGAUAAAUUCAAUUAAUCUACCAGCUGUCACACAAUUAUCACAGUGGGCUAGCCUUCUGAAGGAUAAGUGAUGAGUUAAGUUUGUUUUAUACAUAAAAUAAUUUCAGGCAAUCAUAGUCUCAGAGGUACAAAAUACUCAGAAACUAAGAAUUGUGUCUGAAAAACAUCCAUUGGAUAUAAAUAAAUAGGCAGCUUUUUCCAGCUCACAUGUCUCAUUUUUAGUUUGAAGAAUAAGAUCAUUUUCCCUGCAGGUGACACCGGCUGUGGAACUGUUCUGGGGAGAAGUCUUCACCUUGUCCACUGCUCAGCCCAUGCCUUUCCUAUAUACGGGCGGUGGGGCACUGUGGGGAGUUACACUGCGCCCUCACCCACCUCACCCCUUUUCUCCUACAGAUGAAAAUCCACAUGUAAUUAAUGUCCAUGAUAGCUGGAGCCUGCAACAUGAAUACUGAUUGAAUUCGAGUUAAAAAUACUAAAAGCUUUUAGGAGUAAUGCUUUUUAGAUGCAUAUCUCACUUAAUUCUCAAAUAUGCAAUGAAUUGGCCAUUAUUGUGGAAGAGAGACUCCUGGCCCCAACUCUGGCUGCCUGAGCCCAUGCUUCUAACAGCUCUACCCCACAGCCUCACUCCUGCCCUUUCCCCUCUAACUGUAUGAGUAACUAUAAAGAAGCUCAUUUAUCUGCAUAGAACUAACAAUGAUCAGUUUUCACUAAUUCAGUACUUUCUUCAAUCUAUCAAAUGUUUUGAAAAAUACCAUGUACAUAUUGCCAGCAAAUGAUUAACCAUUUUGCCUCUUUUUUAAUGCUGAGUUUGAGAUCUAAUUUCUUUAUUUGUGGCAGUCUCUGUGGGUUUUCAACCUCUUAUGUUGCAUAACAACACAAUAAACUUUUCCUAAUGAAAUAUCGGCUAUCAACCUAACCGUAAGCGAAAAGUCACAUGCACUGUGAAAGCCCACUUGGCGAAAAGAGAUUCAGUUGCACAUUAGUCGUACACACGGCAUCUACUAGGUCAGGUUCUGGGCGGGCCUGCUCCUGCUCUUCAUUUGUUGGUUCAUUUGUCUGUUCAUUCAUUCAUUCAGCCAUGUGUGUUGAGCACCUGCUUUGUGCCUGGCACUGUGCUGGGCACUGAGGUAGAGAGGGUCCAGAGCCUGCUGGGCUGUAACAAGAUAUAGACUCAGACCCCUGUGCUGCCUGCUUCUCGUCUCAGUUGCUGGGGCUGGAGUGAUGCCCCACUCCAGCUCCGUUUCUGGGACUCCAAACCCUGACACCCUCUCACAAGGUGUGUGAGAGUGGGGGAUGUUAGAUAAUGGUUAUUGAAACCAGUGCCCUAAAAGCCAAGGUAUUGGAAACCUAAAAAAAGACACCCUGAGUCCUACUCUAGGGCCCAAGGAAUCUCUUCAGGCUCCAAGUGGUACUGCUGUCCCACCCUGGACCUGGUCAAGGCCCCCAUGGGCUGAGAAGACCAUAGCUGGUGACCCAGGCUUCUGUUUACCCAGCUGGGAACUUCAUGCAAGGGUAGAGAAAGGCUCCAGGAAUCCCCUUUUCAGGGCACAAAGAAGCAUUUUUGGAAGGUCAUUCAUCUGAUGAAGGCAGUGAUCUGUGACUUGAGAAGGCCUAAGCUGGCUGCAAGGACUGACUCCAGCUGGACACAUUGCUGCAAUGGAUUUCUUUCCCUGGUCAGCUGCCCACCAAAGAUGUCAACCUUGCCGGUCCUCCCGGGCUGGUGCUGUGAAGCACUGGGCCCUGCACGGGGUGGGCAGGUGUAAAGGCAGCUGAGGGCUCCGCUUGCUCUUUGGAUACUGAGGACAUUCACUGGGGACAGCCCACUGCCACACCACCCUUUAAGUUCUUGUCUCUCCAGACACUCAUCUGUCUGGACAAUGUCAGCCCCUUCUGUGUGGGGGAAAGGGACAAAGAGUGAGAACACAAAUAAAUGAUUUGCUAAGAGAAAUUAUUUGAGGCUCCCCCCAAGAAGGUGGUGAUGGUGGUAUAGGCUUUGGAUUGGAAAAAAGAAGGGGAAUUCUUCUCAGACACUUUAACUGAUUUAUUGUACCUAAUCAUCAAUUUAUCACAGGGGUGGUUCCAAGCCCACCUUGAGUAGAAUGACCAGUCCCUAUCUCCCUGUACAAACCUUGCCCACAACCAGCUGAUUCUAUGAUUCCAUGUCAUCAUGUUUUUUUUUUGUUUAUGUUUUUUGUUUUUUUUUUUAAACGGUAACUGAGAUGGAAGAAAAAGAGUGUGACCAAAACCAGAAAAAGAUCUUUGUCUUCAAAAGUCAACAGGGUCAACAUUUCAGCAAUCAGGGUAGAUUUCUUAACUAUCAGCAAAAGUCAUUUCUUGAUGAGAUUUUUAUUAUCAGUAAAAUACUUCAUAUGGAUCAGAAGAGUUUACCAAACCAUAUCUUGAUGGAUUAAGUGAAAAUGAAUUUGAAACACAUGGAUUACAUUUCCUUAAAAUGUGCAUGAGUUUGAAAGUUAACAAUAACAAUGCUUGACUAAAAAGCAUUUGGGAAUUUCUUAAGCCCCAAGAGUUUGAAAAACCAGUUUCUCAGUUGGACUUAAAUAGGUACCCUUACCCAUUAAGGCACUAUAAUUUACAUUAAAGGUAUUCACAGGUAACACUUUAACAAACCAAGGAUGGCAAUAUGCUAUCAGUUUAUUCUUUGCUUCGGAAAUUGCUUCAUGUUUUAGUGCUUUAAAUUCUCAAGUAAACACUUACAUUUAUAUACAUACUAAAUUACUUUAAGAAGACAGAAUAAUUCUUCUUGCUGUCAUACAUAAAUUAAAAAUCCACAAUAAUCCAGGGAAUGCAAAGUUAACCAUGACAAAAUUUCUGGAAGCGUUAACAAACACCUUAAGUGUUCAAUGUACAUUUGACAUUGGAAUUAUGGAGAGGUCGUACAAUAUCAAUGUUGUAAGAAUAUAAAGGAUGCCUAUGCUUGUCUUGAUUCUUUUACUAUAGAUUCCAUUAUUUUUAAGAGUGCAAAGGCUUUGUUAAAAAAACAAUCAAUCAAACAAACAUAAACCCCCAGGGUAUAAUUGUAUUUAUGAAGUGGUGUUACUGUAAAAUAAAAAUUCAGUAGAAAGACAUGAUAGGGGAUACAGGAGUAGUCUCAACUGUCUACUUUACUGGAAAAGAUAGCUUUAUUCAAAUAUUUUCAAGGUUCUUUUUAGAAAAGCUUAGAAAAAAUGAUAUAGAUUUAGUAGAGAAAUGAUGGUCCAAAGUACAAUGACAUCAGUUCCAAUUAAAAGGAAUGAAGGGACUUCCCUGGUGGCGCAGUGGUUAAGAAUCCACCUGCCAAUGCAGGGUACAGGGGUUCAA